AUACCAAGUGCCAUUUAAUGGCUAAACCUUAAUACUGCAAUUAUCCUUCACUUUCUCCAGGGCUUUUAACUGAGUGCACAUGAGUGGCCUUUCAGAAAAAUGGGUGGAAGGAGUGAAUACUUGGCAAUAAUUGGCCCUUGAAGUGGAGGCUCAAUCAGCCGGGCUCUGAUUGGAACCACCUAGAAACCACACCCCCGAAUAGCUUUCCAGCAGCUGAGAAUUCACGGAAGAGAAAAGAGAUGGGAUCAUGCCCAAUGCCACCAGCACAAAGGAUCCAUCUGCCUCCAGAUUAAAAUAAAAAUAGUGAUAAGGUGAACUAGAAGGACAAACAAGCAUAGUUUGGCAAAGUAGAGAAGCAACGUGGCCGAGUGGAUAAAGCACGGGCCAGGGAGAAGGACCUGGGUUCUAGUGCCAGCUCCACCAUUUGUCUGCUGUGUG
rnacentral:lncRNA from 1 species